UGAGUGUAACAUUCGCAUGAGUUAGAGCCUCCUUGUCCCAGCCAACUUCUUCCCAGUGAUCCGACAUUAUGGCACCACACAAUAACCCGGUCGCUAGAACAAAGAUGAAACACAAUUCUCUGUUAAGAUGUGUCAUAUUUUUUCAAAUGUUUAUUUUGUAAAGAAAUAUAUAAUUUUGUAUAUGAAUUAAUAUCUGAAAUGUCUGAUGAUAUACUGGAUUAUAUUACUUUAGCUAUUAUUGCAUCUCGUAAACUCUACUGCUAGAAAUGAGUUUCUUUUUCCUAAGGAUAAAUAGACAAUGAUUCUAAGAUUCUACAACAUUUGCUAAUAUUGACGACAAUGAAUUCUAAAAGUUUAACGAGAAGCCUUGAGAGGAGGCAUCGUUUUCGCGCCAUAGGCAGACCUGUAUGCCAUAGAAAAUUUUAUUACAUAAGAAAUCUAGUGGCAACCAUUGGUAAGGAUUCUCGAAUAUAACAAGAUAUAAAAGCACUUCUCUCUGAAUGACCAUAUCUCUCAAGUGAAAAAAAUGUACGGUGCAAUGAAUUCAACCGGUGGUUGUUGACCCUUUUACCAGAAAGAAAUCUUUCAGGAAAGCAAUAAGAGAUAUUAAUAAUAAAAUAAUGAACACUUUAAAAAGUGAAAAUGAAUAAAGUGUUUAUCAAAGGAAGUCACAUGGUAUCGUUAUGAUAGUGGUAUCCAAUAACAAUACAUAUAUAUAUAUUUAAUAUUCUAUGUUUUCAGAUAAUUUCAUUAAAUUAUGUUAUUUUUUGCAUUUAAAUAGCCACGAUAAAAUAAUAAUAAUUAUUAAGACUAAGAAUAAAUGUCAUCUAUGUGAAAUACAGAUAUGAUUAAAUGCGAUGACGUUGCAAAAUGCGACGUUUCUGAACCAAGUAUAAAAGUAUCAUCAACGUGUAUCAUUCACGUGUUUCUUCAUUUUACAAGCAUUCUCUAUUUUACAUAAACUUUUUUAAUUCUUUUAAUUAUUUUAUAUAAACUUUAAAUACGCAAUUAAUCGAUACGUCAUUAAAAACGUACGCCGGUCAAUUAAUGUGAUGAAACAUAGAUCUAUGUAUUUAUUGAAAGUUUUUUAUCGGUCACAGUAUUUUUUUCACAUAAUGGAAUUAUCCCACACAAAUUGGAAACACGAUGGAAACAUCGUAAUAUUUAGAUCAUCCUUCAUAAUAUCUUAGUGACACGAUUCUUCGGAUCAGCUGAUGGUUUAACGAAUGAGUCUAUACACAGGAUUGGAAGAAGCACAUUCUAUAUCAUUCAACGUGCGUCUACGAAGCUCGUAACGGAAAUAAACCACCUUAUCCGAUUAUUCAUUACGUAAGAUGGAUUUUGAUUAUUGCAUAGCCGGUCUAGACGAUCCGUCUAAACGAAGACACGAGACGUCGAGCAAAUGGGAGGAUCAUCGAAAGCAAUGAAUUUGUGCCGAUUACCUGCGAAAGUGAGGGCUAGCGUCGCAACGAGAAAAACAAGACGUGGACCAGGGGCCCUGGGUACACGAGUAGGCUCCAUCCAUGCAGGUGGUGCCCAGGGCGACCGCUGGCAGCCCACUGAAAGCUGCACAACUGUACCGACAGUUGCCAGUUACGCACUGACCAAUCAACACC